AAAGACAGCGCCUGCAAGAGGAGCGGGAGGAGCUGGAGCUGGAGGGUGCCUGGCAGCAGCAUCAGCUGGAGCUGGAGGCAGCCCACGUGCCUGGGGCUGUGCUGCCGGAGCUGGUGGAGGCAGAGCUGGAGAAGGCUGAGCGGGCGAGGAGACGUGGGCUCGCCUUCUGGAUGAAGUGAGUAUCCCCUCAUUGCCCUGUGCCCAGCCGGCAGCAGCCGGGCUCCCGGCAGUGGGCUGAUGGCCUGGAC